CCCUGCCAUUUGUACACACCGCCUGUCGCUACUACCGAUUGUUACGUUUAGUGAGCACUUGGGAUUGGCGUUUAGGAGCCGGCAACGGCACCUGAUUGCUGAAAACUUGUGCAAACUUGGCGUAAUAG
rnacentral:rRNA from 1 species